GGCGGAGUCGCGGCUGGAGCCACCUCCAACCGCCGUCCCAGGUGGGACCUCGGCUAUCGCGACGUCCAGGAUGGGAAUCCUCCUGCCGCAUGCAUCCACACCCCGACAGCAUCUAGCCUCCCAGAGCCCCGACUGUCUCCCCCUCCAGAUCGAGGAUCCUGGAAGACAGCUGAUCCACAACCCUGAGGAGUCCCCAAGAUCGUCCUGGCCAUCCCUCGACGGUGCUGCACCACACUCUUGCGGACCCCUCCCCUCCCCUCGGUCGGCACCCAAUUUAAACACACUGCCUGCUUCUCCCUCUCCAACACCAAACUGACUGUCCCCAGCUGUUCCUUGACAGCUGGGGUGGGGCCAAACUGACUUGCCCCGCCCCCAGCCUGGCCCCGCCCCCGUCAGCCCUCUAGGGGAGGCGCCUAAGGACAGAGCCCAGACACCCAAAGGCAUUCGCUGAAAGACUGGCCACAGCGCCCCCUCCCCGGGGACAGGGCAGGGACAGUGCCACACACACACACACACACACACACACACACACCCCUCCUGUCUUAAGCUGACUCCUCACAACCCAGUGGCUGCACCGGCAGGCUCAACACUACCUGGGGGCUGAUCUUAGCUAAAAACGGUGUGCUCCCAUCCUUGGGAUGCAGGUGCCAGGUAGGGAACUGUGGGUCUCAUAUACAGGCCCCUGCUGGGGCAACACAGAAGUCAAGGGGGCAGGAUGGGAGCUAGAAACUGCCCCCUGCGCACCCUUAGCCAUCCUCAAAGGCAGCUGUGCCUCCAAAUAGCUCAAGUGGGUGAGCUGAACACCUAGGCUUCAGCAGAGGCAGGACGCUGCGGGUCACAUCCCAGUUCGGCCUCUCCUCCUUGUCCGGGGGGAGAGAAGGGGCUUAUGGCAGCCCCCCCACACACACACACUUCGCUUCUACACACUCCUGAGUGGUAGUCUGCAAGGGUUCUGAUGGAGCCUGCAGUACAGAUCCACAUGGAAUCUUGCAAACUGCCCCAAGCAGUCCCCGGAGACAAUUCCUAACCAGGCAUCCUCCGGUCCUCAGAGCCCAGCUAGUUCUCAAGCUCUCUGGUCAAAGGCUCUUGCAAAGUCAGAUUUUGUAGACUCUCACUUUUCCACUCCCUGUGCAGGUGCCCAGCCCCAGGCUCCCUCACAGAACAGUUUUACACCCCGAUCUCUUAAGCCCCCCGCCCUUACUGGAAACAACCACGGAUCAGGACACAAGGCCAAGACUGCCGCUGGCUGGGCGACUGUGGCAAAGCAAAGGACACUCAGCUUCCUGUGCUGUGGUCCUUCCUACAGACCUCAGCCCCCCACCCCCACCACAAACAGAACAGCAACAGUUUGAAGACUGAGUACUCAGCCCGUGCACGGUUAUGGGAGGGGAUUGUCCACGCUGCUGGAGCAACAGUCCUGGGACCCGAGAUUUGUGCUGUCCAGUUCACACGGCCAGUACCGUUCAUCUCCCCUUGGCUGCUCAGGGCCUGCCUGCCUGCCUGCCCGCCCCUUGGCUCUCUGCACCUGCACCUGCAUCCCCCUGCCUGGGGGUUUCCCUCUUCACACAUCUGGACAACAUCAGGGAACUCCGUCCCCAAAGCACAUUCUCCAAUGGGAGGCUUGUGAUCAUUUCGGAGAACCUGCGCUCGAUGGCUUUCACCUCCUCGGCGGAGAUGAAAUGCCGCACGUUGUAGCUGACGCCCACGCGGUUCAGAUGGCCCCGCACGUGGUUGGCCAAGCCGAUGCCAUUGUGGAAACGGUCGGGGCAGUAGGGGCAUUUCCGCUCCUCCGGCUUCAGUGCCGCGGCCGGGUCUCCCUCCAAGAGCGUGUCCAGCCCCAGGGGGUCACCCAUCGGCGCAUCCAAGAGCAGGAAGUCCAAGGGUAUAUGCUGCAUUCGAUGCACGGGAACACGGCCGGCUCUUCAUCCUCGUCCUCGCCCUCGUCCAUGCUGGCCACCCCCUCGACCACCUCCUCCAGUAGCUCACACAGAGCCUAGGGAGAUUUCUCACAGCCGUCAUCAAGGAAAGUUUCACCCCCAGCUGGCAAGUGCUUUAAAAAAAAUAAUAAAAGGCUUGCAACCACAACCUUUGCAAAGGGGGACAUGGAAUGGUGGCAACACAACCCGGAGCGAAGAAGACACCUGCCCGUGACCAGUGUGAGUCCUCACUACGGUUCUUCCUGGUCACCGCUCCUUUUGUUUCCAAGUUCUCGCCUGCAUGAGGGGGACGCUGGAUUCCUGGGACGUGGGUUCCAACAAGCGGGCUGGGCUGUGUGGCCCGUCAGGGGCACACGAUGCUCACAGGACGGUGCCGAGAGCCUAGCGCGGUGGCUGCCGUUCAUAUGGAGAGCUCUCAUGAAUCCUGGUAAGACGAUCAUUUUUACACCAGCGCCCACCAGGCCGUUUCCUCACACAGGGAGUGGCCGUCGGCCCUGUUAUCACUUUCUGCUUUUUACCCAAUACAGAUCCUGUCCCCUGGAUCCUCACAUCUGUGAGACGCAGCUCAUGGAUUCCUUUAUGCCCGACGAGAAAGCUGAGGCUCAGAAAGGCCCUAGCAUCAUUUCAAGGUGGGGAGGAGGUGGGGAGGCACCUAGCAGAGACCAGCCAGGACUUCAAAGGGUCCAACCUCCAGGCCUGGACCCCUCCGCCCCUGCUCCUGGCAGAGAUAAUGAGAGUUGACUGUGCUCAUUCCAGACCUCUCCCACCCCUCCCCACCAAGGGGCUAGGCCUGCUGGGAGCCACCUCCUCCUGCCUGGCCUCCUAAUUCCCUACUGUGUCCCCUCUCACUCCCCAGGGGGACUUUCUUUCUCUCUCUUUCUCUCUCUCGGGCCUGGGCACCUGCAGCUUACCCCCUGCCCUCCCUGAGGCCAGGGCCAGCAUGGCACUCACCAGCUGCUGAUCCGAUGGGUGGCCGAGGUAGCACAGGGGAGGGCUUCGCUGAGGCCGGGAUGGGGCUGCCCAUCUGCAACAGAGAGGGGAGACCCUGAGGGGCUGGGGUUCCCCCUGGCUGGGGCCCUCCACACCCCAGCUCCAGGAACCCUGCCGGGGCACCUUGGAAGGGCCCUGCUGGCUCCCACAACCCCUCAUCCCAGAGAGCCCUUUGGGCCUCUCUCCACUCCUGAACCCUGAAAGGGGUUUCUUAGUACCAGCUCCCUGGGCUUUCUGCUUCCCUCCCCCCACCAGCCCCGCAACACCUGGCAGCCAGGGUGGGUUUUAGAAGUCAAGCCCUGGCAGGAACUCACCUGGGCUUCUCAUUCUACCUACAGGAAGAGCCGGAUUGCUAACUGCCACCUGCAAGGCCCUGUGAGGUCAGACUCAGCACUUGUCCAACCACCCUCCUCUGUCUCUGGGCCCCUCACUGCCUCUGUCUGACUGUCCUGCCUUCCUUGUGGAGCCCCCUGUGUGGGCCAGCUAACUCUGGCUGACCUCAGGGGCUUGGCAUGUGCUCCUCGCUCUGCCUGGAACACCCUUCUCUGGCCACUUGUUCCAAAGGGAACCCCUGUGAGGUUUGUCUCUCCCUUCCUCUCUCUCUUUCUCUCAGCAGCCCCUUGGAGAUGCCUGGCUCCCUCUCUGGAUGGCUGCUUGUCACUCACAGCAGUGACUUGCUUGGCCUUGUUCAUUACAGGAGCCCAUCCAACACCUGGUGCCACCACAGGACGACUCACAAAAUACUCGCCAGGCUGGCGUGUGCAGUGACCGAGCCUUGUUGGCCUGAGCUGUGCCUGCCGCCUUCUGGACCCCCUUCCAGGCCCUAAGCCCUAAAUUUAAUCCCCUCCUGGAAUACUGCCCCUCCACCCCCCGACCCCCACCCUACCUCACUAGACAGAGCCAACUCUCCAUUAUCCGCCUGUAGAGCCAGGGCCUGGAGCGACCACAGGAAUCCUGGCCUGCAUCUACUCUGCCCGCCGCGCUUGCCUGAUGCCGGUGAGCGCGUGCCAAUCGGGGCGCGGGCCAAUUGUCUGGGCCAAGGUUAACACACUGGGUUGGGGGGGGGGGGGGAGGCGGAGGGCGGGGGAACUUGCGCCCUGUCCAGAACCCAGCAGAUGCAACUGCUGGAUCACCUUCAACUUGAGGGUGAUCCAGAGAGACAGAGGACCGCUGCUGGGGUGAAUUCUGGUAUUUUUUUCUUUUUUGCCACUGUCCUCACCAUUCCAUAUUUGCCCAGGCAAAUUUGAAAGCUGGCCAUUUAGGAAUCAAGAAAUAAAAAUGAAGCCAGGGUGGGGUGUGGGGGGCAGCGUGAAGGAAGGGGUGUGUGUGUGUCCAGAAAAGGGGGGGCUACCACCCUGGCUGGGAGGGUCGUCUUUCUGCUGAGUCUUAUAAAGGCUGUGAUUGCUACACAGGGUCUGCAAAGGCAGGGAGGUUUGCAAUGUCUGAAGCAGAUUAAAAAAAAAAAAAAAACCAAAACCCUGACAUUUGGGACCAGACCAUGGGAGGGUGGGGGGAAGCUGUCCUGUGGGUAGUAGGAUAUUAAGUGGCAUCUCUAGUCUCCACCCACCAGAUGGGAGGAGCAGCCUCCCCACCGCAUGGUGAUAACAACUGACAAUCUUUGCAGAUGUUAACAGUGUCCCCCAGUAGGCAGAAUCAACAACCCCCCAGCUUCCCCACCCCACCCCCCACCCUGCCUGGUUUGAGAGCCGCUGGGGUGGGGCAGAUGGGGAUGCUGUGCAGGGUGUGAGAGUUGGUUGAUUGAUCAACUCUGUGAGCAAGAACCCAAGAAACAGGGUCCCCGGCGAGUCAUAGAUGCGAACUUCUCUGGAGAAGGCGGUCGGUAGGUUGGGUACCCAGCCCCGGCAGAGCCUGGUGUCCUGUUUGUCCUGCUCCUGAGAUUCCAAGGUGUCCCAGAUUUGAUGAUCCUACGAUUGCCACUAAGAAUUCUCAAGCCAGGGCCGGGGUGGGGGUGGUGGUGGCAGUGCUGCGUUGCCCUCUUUGUCUGAACGGGCUCCCAGUGCAGGCUCCUGUUUUUAAUAACUUUGGAGGAAGCAGGCCAAAGCAGGGCCCAUGUCCGAGAUGCCUGGAGGCCUCCAAGGAUGAUGAUGAUGAUGAUGAUGGAGGAGGAGGAGGAAGGAUCCAGAAGUCCCAUUGUGGACAGCUGUUCUUGGGUUAGUGGCCGUGCCAAGAAGGGGGAGGCUCUCAUUGGCUCUUGUCACCUGAGGUCUCUCCUGGGAGGACUCGCCAUAGAGAGGAGGGCAUCCAUGAGCAGCUUGAAGCCAGGCGGUGUUGUGGAGCUGCCAAGAAUCUAGACUUUGGAGCUGAACAGAUUCAAGUUCAAGGCCCAGUGCUGUGACCUGAAGGGCUUGCGUUUCCCAGGCUUGGUUUCCUCUUGUGUGCAGGGCCAGUAAUGGGUGCCAGUGAGAACCCACAGAAUGCUCCAGCCAGAGG